CCCUGGAAGACUACCAGGUUGAUAGGUCAGAGGUGUAAGUACAGUAAUGUAUUAAGCUGACUGAUACUAAUAGGUCGAGGGCUUGAUCA
rnacentral:rRNA from 1 species